rnacentral:rRNA from 1 species
AUGGCCGCAGUAUUUUGACUGUGCAAAGGUAGCAUAAUUAUUAGUUUUUUAAUUGAAAGCUUGUAUGAAGGGUUGGACGAGAUAAAGUCUGUCUUUAUUUAAAUUAAAAUAGAAUUUAACUUUUAAGUCAAAAGGCUUAAAUGUUGAUAAAAGACGAGAAGACCCUAUAGAUCUUUAUUAAAUUUAAAUUUUGAUAAUUUAGGAUUAUUUUAAUUUAAAGUUUAAAUUUAAUUUUAUUGGGGUAAUAUAAAGAUUAAAUAAAUUCUUUUUAUUUAUAACAUUGAUUUAUGUAUAUAUGAUCCAUUAUUAUUGAUUAUAAGAUUAAGUUACCUUAGGGAUAACAGCGUAAUUUUUUUGGAGAGCUCAUAUCGAUAAAAAAGUUUGCGACCUCGAUGUUGGAUUAAAAGUUAUCUUGGGUGCAGAAGCUCAAGAUUUUGGUCUGUUCGACCAUUAAAUUUUUACAUGAUCUGAGUUCAGACCGGCGUAAGCCAGGUCGGUUUCUAUCUUUAUUUGAACAAAAUAUUUUAGUACGAAAGGACCAAGUAUUUAAUAUAAUUAUAUUUAUUUUUUGAA